GCCAGGUUGCCCGAGCGGCCAAAGGGAGCGGAUUGUAAAUCCGUCGGCUUCGCCUACGUAGGUUCGAAUCCUUCACCUGGCACCA
rnacentral:tRNA from 1 species